AGUAGAGCUGUGUUGUGAUGGGACGGGUCGAAUCGUGCUGUCCUGAGGUGGGUCUGAUCUGGUAAAUCUGUGUUGUGAUGGGCCUGGUCUAGUAGAGCUGUGUUGUGAUGGGCCAGGUCUAGUAGAGCUGUGUUGUGAUGGGCCUGGUCUAGUAGAGCUGUGUUGUGAUGGGCCUGGUCUAGUAGAGCUGUGUUGUGAUGGGCCUGGUCUAGUAGAGCUGUGUUGUGAUGGGCCAGGUCUAGUAGAGCUGUGUUGUGAUGGGCCAGGUCUAGUAGAGCUGUGUUGUGAUGGGCCUGGUCUAGUAGAGCUGUGUUGUGAUG